AAACACUCACCAGGUUCACAUACCGGCUGAGCUCAGCCACUGGGACAUUCACCAGCUAAGUCUGGGAGCAGCCCAGAGCCAUGGACUGCAGAAACCCAUUCUGUCCAACAGGAACUUCCAUGGCUGCCUGGAAAACCUACUGUACAACGACCUCAACCUGAUAGACCUGGCUAAAAAGAAGAACCACCAGGUCUCUGUAGUGGGCAAUGUGACCUUUUCUUGUGCUGAACCA